GAACUGCGGGCCUCGGAGGGGAAGCCCUGCGCCCUGGUGCCCGGCCCGGAGCCCACGCGGGACUGGGAAGGCGCCGAGCCUCCCUAGGAGCUGCCGGGGGGAGGCGACCCCAGAACAGCGUCCCGGAGAGCCGCCGGCGGGGUGUGGGGCCGGGUCCCCCAGCAGCGAGGGGCCCCAAAGCCGACCGGAGCGCUUGGGACGUUAAGCGCCCUUCUUCCGGUCUGUGAGCUUCGGCGGCGGCGCCGGCCCUUCCUUUAGCCCUCUCGGGACCGUUACGUGAACCCGCACUGCCUUCUUCCCUUCCGGGACCCCUGCACAGGCCCCGCGCCCGCCCCGACUCGGAACCGAGGGGAAAGAAAGGCGCGGCGGCAGGAAAACGGGAGAGGUCUAGGCCGGCCGGGGCUGCUGGAGGACUCAGCCCAGCUCUGGAGUGGACAAGUGCAGGCCGCGGCUUUUCAUCCAGAUAAAACACUUGACCAAACCCAUGAAGAGCUGACUUUGGUAAAGCUGAAUGAGUCUCUGCAGGGAGAAAACAGUCGCAGUUGGAAAAACUGGGCUUGCAGUGGCC
rnacentral:lncRNA from 1 species